rnacentral:rRNA from 1 species
UACAGAGGUCUCAAGCGUUGUUCGGAUUCAUUGGGCGUAAAGGGCGCGUAGGCGGAUGGCUUUGUCGGGCGUGAAAUUCCAGGGCUUAACCUUGGGGCUGCGUUCGAGACGGGCCGUCUUGAGUUUGGAAGAGGGUCGUGGAAUUCCCAGUGUAGAGGUGAAAUUCGUAGAUAUUGGGAAGAACACCGGUGGCGAAGGCGGCGACCUGGUCCUUGACUGACGCUGAUGCGCGAAAGCGUGGGGAGCAAACAGG